rnacentral:pre_miRNA from 13 species
UAGUCCAUAAAUAAUAUACCUCAUUUAAUUAUGGCAGACUCACACCUAACUAUUUAAAAUCACCUAUUAUCACAGAUCCAACUACAUCAUUAACAUUGAAAAACAUAGGAUCACUACUGUGUGAAUAUUGGUGA